AGGUGGCCUUUGUGGCGAUCCGAGGGUUGACAGAACACGGCGACACGGCGCUGGACAACGUGGCUGUCAGGAGUGGGCCUUGCGAUGUCUCCAGUUCUACGACUCCUCCUACAACAAUCCCAGAAACAACUCCUCUCUUCACCACCCCACUGUGGACAACCAUGCCAACUCAGGCACCAGAUCCCUGGGUUCACUGCGAUUUCUCUUGCUCCUUUGACGUGGACUUCUGCUCCUGGAGACAGCUGCCCUCGGACACAUUUGACUGGAAGCGGCACAAAGGCCCCACAUCCUCAGCAGACACUGGGCCGCCCUAUGACCACA